ensembl:lncRNA
GAAGGUUAGCUACACAUUUGCAUUGGUUCUGUCGUCGACAUGAACACGACAAAGUAUGGUGUAAGUUGCGUUAUUGUGAAGUGGAAAGGGACCCUGGAAGAAAGAAACUGUCAGGAAGGAGUCAGAGGGACACGUACAUAGACGAACACAAGCAGCCUCCCCCACACAUAUGCACAAGGUCACAAGGGAAUUGACUGCAAUAUGAGGCCAGUACAGCAGAGAGACUGUGGGAAAUCGAGACUCAUCAGACCAGGCAACAUUCUUCCAGUCUUCAACUGUCCAAUUUUGGCUUGGUGUACCUGCUCCCUGCCUGGCCCCCUGCUCUUUGUCACUCACAGCUCCUCCGGUUACGGCUCGGCCUCUCCAGGGGCCUCAGGGACCUGGCCUAAAUUGGUUUCAGAAGCACUGCG